rnacentral:rRNA from 1 species
AGCGAACGCUGGCGGCAGGCCUAAUACAUGCAAGUCGAGCGGUCCCUUCGGGGGCAGCGGCGGACGGGUGAGUAACGCGUGGGAACGUGCCCUUUGGUACGGAACAACUGAGGGAAACUUCAGCUAAUACCGUAUGUGCCCUUCGGGGAAAGGAUUUAUCGCCAUUGGAGCGGCCCGCGUUGGAUUAGGUAGUUGGUGAGGUAAAGGCUCACCAAGCCUACGAUCCAUAGCUGGUCUGAGAGGAUGAUCAGCCACACUGGGACUGAGACACGGCCCAGACUCCUACGGGAGGCAGCAGUAGGGAAUCUUGCGCAAUGGGCGAAAGCCUGACGCAGCCAUGCCGCGUGAAUGAUGAAGGUCUUAGGAUUGUAAAAUUCUUUCACCGGGGACGAUAAUGACGGUACCCGGAGAAGAAGCCCCGGCUAACUUCGUG